CCUUCCCGGACUCCGUACAUAUUAGCUGUUGACAGAAUCAUGGCGUCCUCAAUGUCACUUCUAGGUUUGGGACGGGGUUCCCUGCUAAAUACAGCCACUAAAGUAUUCCUGAAUCCUGUCAGGUCGGUGAGCCUGACAGGAUGGAGGCUGGCAGAGAAAGCAGGACAAGAGACGCAACUGAUCACCGUGGA